CCUACGGGAGGCAGCAGUAGGGAAUCUUCCGCAAUGGACGCAAGUCUGACGGAGCAACGCCGCGUGAGUGAAGAAGGAUUUCGGUUCGUAAAACUCUGUUGUUAGAGAAGAACAGCGCAUAGAGUAACUGUUAUGCGUGUGACGGUAUCUAACCAGAAAGCCACGGCUAACUACGUGCCAGCAGCCGCGGUAAUACGUAGGUGGCAAGCGUUGUCCGGAUUUAUUGGGCGUAAAGCGAGCGCAGGCGGUCAAUUAAGUCUGAUGUGAAAGCCCCCGGCUCAACCGGGGAGGGUCAUUGGAAACUGGUUGACUUGAGUGCAGAAGAGGAGAGUGGAAUUCCAUGUGUAGCGGUGAAAUGCGUAGAUAUAUGGAGGAACACCGGUGGCGAAAGCGGCUCUCUGGCUUGUAACUGACGCUGAGGCUCGAAAGCGUGGGGAGCAAACAGGAUUAGAUACCCUGGUAGUCCACGCCGUAAACGAUGAGUGCUAGGUGUUAGACCCUUUCCGGGGUUUAGUGCCGCAGCUAACGCAUUAAGCACUCGCCUGGGGAGUACGACCGCAAGGUUGAAACUCAAAGGAAUUGACGG
rnacentral:rRNA from 1 species